AGCUAAAACUGAGUAUGGGUCACUCUCUGUUUACAUACGGCAGGAAUAAAAGGCCACUGUCUCAGAAAUUCCUGUCUGGCAAAGGAUCAUGAAAGGAACAAAGGAACAAGUCCCUUGGGAGCAGGUUUUAAAUAAAAGUAACAAAAUGAGAUUUGAUGGAGAGAAAUCAUGAGCAGGGUGGACUGUCCAUCCGGAAGCAGACCAUCAUCCAUUCCUACUCUGCUCGCAUACAGAAGAGCUAUAUGUGUGCUUCACUUGACUCUAGCAGAAACACAAACAUCUGAAAGCUUCAGCAAAAUGUCCUUCGGCUUCUGCUCGUGGGGCAACUGAGAUCCUGAGGCUCUGCUUGCUCUUGUGGUCAUUCUCAUGCCUUAUUUGCUAUGGUGAGUUUCUUCUGCAAUUGCCUCUUGGCUUCUCUGGCUUCUAAGAGGAACUUACUCAUUGCCUCUGAUUCCUGACCAUCAGAUGACCACCAACACCCCAACCCAUCAACAGACAUUCUGGGCCUACUAGGUGCCAGACCUUUGCCAAAGAGGAGAGUCUGCCAGGAAGCCUCUGCAGAUCUUCAGCGUCUAGCCCCUUCUCCAUUCCUUUCACCGCCUUCCUGCACACUUGGUUAGGACCUCUCCUACUUGUGCCUAGAGAAGCAAAGAAGGUUGCUGUCUGCAGCAUUUAUGUAAUUACUGAGAGUCUACAUAUAGAAGCUAAGGCUCAGAGAGAUCUUAGAGCAGGAAAUCGCAGAGCUAG
rnacentral:lncRNA from 1 species